rnacentral:rRNA from 1 species
AUUGAACGCUGGCGGCAGGCCUAACACAUGCAAGUCGAGCGGAUGAAGGGAGCUUGCUCCUGGAUUCAGCGGCGGACGGGUGAGUAAUGCCUAGGAAUCUGCCUGGUAGUGGGGGAUAACGUCCGGAAACGGGCGCUAAUACCGCAUACGUCCUGAGGGAGAAAGGGGGGGAUCUUCGGACCUCACGCUAUCAGAUGAGCCUAGGUCGGAUUAGCUAGUUGGUGGGGUAAAGGCCUACCAAGGCGACGAUCCGUAACUGGUCUGAGAGGAUGAUCAGUCACACUGGAACUGAGACACGGUCCAGACUCCUACGGGAGGCAGCAGUGGGGAAUAUUGGACAAUGGGCGAAAGCCUGAUCCAGCCAUGCCGCGUGUGUGAAGAAGGUCCUCGGAUUGUAAAGCACUUUAAGUUGGGAGGAAGGGCAGUAAGUUAAUACCUUGCUGUUUUGACGUUACCAACAGAAUAAGCACCGGCUAACUUCGUG